rnacentral:rRNA from 1 species
GUGAGGAAUCUUCCACAAUGGGCGAAAGCCUGAUGGAGCAACGCCGCGUGAAGGAUGAAGGUCUUCGGAUUGUAAACUUCUUUUAUGAGUGAAGAAUAUGACGGUAACUCAUGAAUAAGCACCGGCUAACUACGUGCCAGCAGCCGCGGUCAUACGUAGGGUGCAAGCAUUAUCCGGAGUGACUGGGCGUAAAGAGUUGCGUAGGCGGUUAUGUAAGCGAAUAGUGAAACCUGGUGGCUCAACCACACAGACUAUUAUUCGAACUGCAUAACUCGAGAAUGGUAGAGGUAACUGGAAUUUCUUGUGUAGGAGUGAAAUCCGUAGAUAUAAGAAGGAACACCAAUGGCGUAGGCAGGUUACUGGGCCAUUUCUGACGCUAAGGCACGAAAGCGUGGGGAGCGAACCGGAUUAGAAACCCGAGUAGUCC